UACGGAGGGUGCAAGCGUUGUCCGGAAUCACUGGGCGUAAAGGGCGCGUAGGCGGCUCAUGAAGGCUGUGGUGAAAGUCCGGGGCUCAACCUCGGAUCGGCCGUGGCGACUCGUGGGCUGGAGCACUGUAGAGGCGGGUGGAAUUCCGGGUGUAGCGGUGGAAUGCGUAGAGAUCCGGAAGAACACCAGUGGCGAAGGCGGCUCACUGGCCCGGUACUGACGCUGAGGUGCGAAAGCGUGGGGAGCAAACAGG
rnacentral:rRNA from 1 species